CUUCUAUAACCAGUGAUCCGCCGCUGCCGUCACCUCUGCCGCCGGCGUCAAGCCUCCAGGGAGCGAGCCCUUUCAGCUACCCAUCAGACACACACCCGCGGCCCCCGUUCCCCCUCGCGGGCCCCGCGUCUCCCUCGAGGCGAGGCGAAUCGCGCCCGCCCGCCCGUUUAGGGUUUCCGCCGCCGCCGGAGAGGGAAGGGGAGGGGGUGAGGAACUGAACCGGAGCAAGAUGGCCGGACGGCUCCUCGGGCAGCUCCUCGUCAUGGGCGGCGCCGUCGUCGGCAGGGCCGUGGUCCAGGCCUACCGCCAGGCAAUCGUCAGUUAUGAAGAUGUGUCCAUCCGGAGCCAUUAAAACAAUAUGCUACAUAUACUGGAGUAAUCCAUUGGAGUUUUUGCGAUGCUUGCUCUAUUCGGCUUUGAGUUCGAGUUCGCUAAUCUUGUGUUCUGUUUUCUCUGUAUUAAAUAAAGUGGUUGAGGAUAUUCAACAAAUUGGUGUCGCAGGUUCUCAGUUCAUGGAAUCAUUGGUUGGAUCUUCUUCCAAUGCCACAACACGUGGAUGGACACUGUAGAAAAAAUAUGUGAGCCGUUUUGCUGCAAUCUAUCCAUACUGCCCAGCGCAUGUUAUAGCAGCCAAUUAAUAGAAGCUAUAACUACAAAAGUAACAGCAGCCUGUUGGUACUCUUUUAUGAUGUCUACUUCCGACUGAAUAUUGGUUGGCAUUACAAAGCUAGGCACCUGAGCUAUUUACAGGAGGGGACCCGACCUUCUUCAUGUUCCGCGGUAGUGUCUUCCUUUGAUUCGUUCGUGCAACAAGGAGGGGACCUGGCCUUCUUCACGUCUCGUGCAACAAGGGUGAUGGACAUUGACUACGACAGCCUGGUGGGCGUUGUGCUCUUCAACCACUCAGAGGUGGACUUCGCCGUGAAGCCUGGCGACCGCGCCGCACGGAUGAUCGUCGAUGUGAUCGCGACGCCGGAUGUCGCCGAGGUGGAGGACCUCGAUGCCAUCGUCCCGGGUGUGAGGGAGGAUUUGGGUCCGCCGGCGUCUGAACUCCAAGCCUUGCUAGAUACAUGUAGAGAAGUGGUCUGCUUAGGCUGGUGGUGGAACAUUAGGGAAGGUACCCACCUUUGGUUGUGUGUGUUUAAUUUAUUUUGCACUGGACGUGUCCCUGAUUUCUAUCUAUGAAUAACGUAUGUAAUUUUUAUUUUUUUAAUUCAUAAUUUGUUAGUAGUA